CGUGCCUAAUACAUGCAAGUCGAGCGAACGGACGAGAAGCUUGCUUCUCUGAUGUUAGCGGCGGACGGGUGAGUAACACGUGGAUAACCUACCUAUAAGACUGGGAUAACUUCGGGAAACCGUAGCUAAUACCGGAUAAUAUUUUGAACCGCAUGGUUCAAAAGUGAAAGACGGUCUUGCUGUCACUUAUAGAUGGAUCCGCGCUGCAUUAGCUAGUUGGUAAGGUAACGGCUUACCAAGGCAACGAUGCAUAGCCGACCUGAGAGGGUGAUCGGCCACACUGGAACUGAGACACGGUCCAGACUCCUACGGGAGGCAGCAGUAGGGAAUCUUCCGCAAUGGGCGAAAGCCUGACGGAGCAACGCCGCGUGAGUGAUGAAGGUCUUCGGAUCGUAAAACUCUGUUAUUAGGGAAGAACAUAUGUGUAAGUAACUGUGCACAUCUUGACGGUACCUAAUCAGAAAGCCACGGCUAACUACGUGCCAGCAGCCGCGGUAAUACGUAGGUGGCAAGCGUUAUCCGGAAUUAUUGGGCGUAAAGCGCGCGUAGGCGGUUUUUUAAGUCUGAUGUGAAAGCCCACGGCUCAACCGUGGAGGGUCAUUGGAAACUGGAAAACUUGAGUGCAGAAGAGGAAAGUGGAAUUCCAUGUGUAGCGGUGAAAUGCGCAGAGAUAUGGAGGAACACCAGUGGCGAAGGCGACUUUCUGGUCUGUAACUGACGCUGAUGUGCGAAAGCGUGGGGAUCAAACAGGAUUAGAUACCCUGGUAGUCCACGCCGUAAACGAUGAGUGCUAAGUGUUAGGGGGUUUCCGCCCCUUAGUGCUGCAGCUAACGCAUUAAGCACUCCGCCUGGGGAGUACGACCGCAAGGUUGAAACUCAAAGGAAUUGACGGGGACCCGCACAAGCGGUGGAGCAUGUGGUUUAAUUCGAAGCAACGCGAAGAACCUUACCAAAUCUUGACAUCCUUUGACAACUCUAGAGAUAGAGCCUUCCCCUUCGGGGGACAAAGUGACAGGUGGUGCAUGGUUGUCGUCAGCUCGUGUCGUGAGAUGUUGGGUUAAGUCCCGCAACGAGCGCAACCCUUAAGCUUAGUUGCCAUCAUUAAGUUGGGCACUCUAAGUUGACUGCCGGUGACAAACCGGAGGAAGGUGGGGAUGACGUCAAAUCAUCAUGCCCCUUAUGAUUUGGGCUACACACGUGCUACAAUGGACA
rnacentral:rRNA from 1 species